UGGGAUGUUAGCAGCGGUAGCUAGUCAGCCUCAUAAGCUGAAGGUCGGGAGUUCGAAUCUCCCUCCCGCAA
rnacentral:tRNA from 2 species